AAAUGACAAAGACUCAUUUAGAAUUAGAGUCAACCUAUAAUGACCAUUGCAAGUGUUAUUCUCAUGGAUGUACAAACAUCUGGAAUCCAUAAAACAAGCACAAUGUCUUAUUCAUAUUAAUGCCAAUCUAUGAACAAAUUCUAAUUUUUAGUAUGUCUAUUGUUCUUGAAAAUGAAAGAUAAAAUGAAUAAUAGUAAGUUAUAGGCAGCCAAACUUACUAAAAUGUGGUACUCUCGCUCGAUUAUUUUUUUG
rnacentral:lncRNA from 1 species